GUGGUGGUGUUGGGGGUGGACCAACUGGGAUUUUCAUAGGUUGGUUUCAUUUAGACUCAGUUGCCUGGGUGGUUUCAGUAGUCAAAUGUACUUUCUGUUUAUGUCCUUUUCUUUUGCAUGUUUGUACCUUGUCUGGUGUUGUUUCCACUGCAAAUAAUGGUGCCUUCACUAGCAUCAGAACUAGGGUAAUCUGCAGCAUUUUAGUUUGAUUUCUCACUUUUCUUUUGCAAAGACAUGGUUUGUUUGCUGUUUGUCAACAGCUUUACUUUUUCGUUACCCAUACUUUGAUCGAUGAUUCUAUCAGGCCAAAUAGAAAAUGAUUGUAUGUUAACGCCUUCUUUUAAUUAAAUUACUGAGUAGCAUAGCAUUUAAAAUGGUUCCAUUAAGCCUUUCUUCUGAAUCUCAUUUAUAUGUUUUCUGUUGUGUUGUGCCAGUUUUGACCGUUUAGAGCAGUAAGAUUAAAUACCAUCUCCAUAUUUCCUAACCAUAUACAGAGCCUGUUAUUAGUUUGGCUAAUGGGGCUAUAAUUUAUGGUCCAAGGACGUGCCUUUGUAUUCCUUGUCUUGCACUUCAUGUCAUUAAAUCUUUGUUCUUCAUGAUUUUGAAAUUUGGUAGUGGUGGCCUGAUUUUGACAAAUCAAACUCUUUUAGAGUAGUUAGCUGAUUUUCAUGAUAUUGGAAUAGAAAGUCCUGUGCUUAAACCACUAGACCUGCCAAUUUCACAUAUAAAACUUAUUAUUACAUGCGGUGGAGUGGAACUUAUAUAAUGUUGGAUGUAGUAAAAAACAAGUAAUUUAAGUUGGAGCAAUAAUAGAAAUUUUAGAAAUUAGCCUUAACUGCCUAUAAAAGUUACAAAUGUUAGAAGUUUUGGUUCUAUGAGGCACAACCUCUGCCAAGCAAUGUCAUUCUGCAUUUUCAAUUUUUCAGCGGUACUGAUGAUUCUUUUAAAAUGAUAACUUCAGCAGAAAAUGGUGACGGAUGUAUUGCUUUAUUAGUGAUGGAAUGGAAUGUUUUGCUUUAACUUAGCAAGUCUUAUGUAAUAUUGUAAAUUUACAUUAAUAUCUUUCCAGAAUUUUUCAACGCCUGAGGACCUUUCUGCGUAUGAUGGUUUGGAACUAAGCCUUAAAGGUGAUGAUUGUUGGUAUAAACUUAUUGUUCGUACUAGCCGUGAUUGGGACGCUGCUGGUUAUACAGCAAGCUUCGACACUGUUGAAUGAUGGCAAUCAAUACGCUUGCCAUUUUCUUCUUUGAGGCCAAUUUUUUGAGCUCGGACUGUAUCAGAUGCUCCUCCAUUUGAUCAAAGCAAUAUUGUAUCAUUGCAGGCAUGUUAUAUCUGCUGAGGAUUAUUUAUUUUCUGCUUCAUUAGCUUCUUACUUUUUGGUCAAUUAACCAAAUAUAUUUUCAGCUCAUGUUCAGCAAGUUUGAGUAUGAUGGGAAACUGAAUCCAACUUUUUUGGAGGGUCCAUUUGAGCUUCCCUUAUCAAGUAUAAGGGCCUUCACAAAUGAUCCUAUAACUCCCAAGUUUAACAUUUGUUUUGUUUGUUUCUUUUUUAAUGUCUUGAAUUUAGUGAUCUGCUGAAAUUUUUUAAUUUGGGUUUUGUCCAUCGUAGGUUUGUACAUGUGAGCUCUGCAGGAGUAACUAGACCAGAAAGGCCUGGCCUCAAUUCCAGUAAACAACCUCCUGCUGUAUGCUUGAACAAGGAAUUGGGUUUUAUCCUAACUUUUAGGUUGAAUGUUGGUUGUUAUCUAUGUAUAAGCUGUUUGUGUCAGUGUAAAUUCCGUUACCUCAACGAAGCCUAGUAGUUUAAUAAUAUAUUAUUUGGAACUCAUUGCUGCUUAUGAAGUUGCGGGACUUCUGAAUCUGACUUGUUCACUGAACCACAUAUUGUUAAUACAUGGUUCAUGAGGUCAAACCAUGAACUCAAUUGAUGGAUUUGUAAAAAGAAGGGCAGAAGGUUGAAGUUUAAUGGAAAAGAUGGAAAGAAGAUUCUAAAUAUUUGAUAUGUUAGCUUUUGAAGAAAAGACUAAUAGGAAUAUGAACUCUUAAAUUUACAGGGACUGCAUAAAAAAUGGAAAAAAUAAAGACAUCUUGGAACUCAAAGUAAAGAGAGAGGAAUACCAAUAACAUGUUAUGUGCACAUGCAGAAUACAAACUCACAUGGAGAUCAUGAUCUAGCUGAUUGCUGUUUUCCGACAAUAUUUGGUUGGAUGAAUUUAUUCAGUUCUUUGUUGGCUAUUGACAUCCCGUUGCUGCUGAAUUUAUGUGUGCUUAUGUAUGGUGAGGGAUGGCUAUGAAUGAUCCAAAUUCAGGCUGACUGAGCUAAUAGACUAGGAAGUAGGAAAGUGAUUUUGCAUCUAUCAUCAACACCUCAGGCCACAGCAAGUCCAGCGAAAAUAAUUUCCCUCUUUAUUUCAACCAUCUGGCUAGAAUUUGAAACUUCAGUGUUUGGAACUAUCUCAAAUUUUUUUGGAAACUUAUUAGCUUUAGCCUUUAUGACAGGGAGAAGAUUUGAUACGUGAAAGUGGCAUGCCAUAUGCAAUUGUAAGGCCUUGUGUAUUAACUGAGGAGCCUGCUGGUGCAGAUCUCAUUUUUGACCAAGGAGACAAUAUAACGGUGGUUCAGCUGAAUAUUCUUUGUUGGCUGGGAGGGAGUUGCACUCUGAAAUUCAUUGAGGACAAGUGAUUGGUGUUGCCUCUGUUAUCUUUAACCAUUUUUGUGAGUAAAAUAUCAAGGGAAGAGGUUGCUCGGAUUUGUGUUGCUGCUAUGGAAAGCCUGUAUGCAUAGCACAAGACAUUUGAGGUUAAAAGUGUGAUUCCUUUCAGUGAACCAUUUAUAGUGGUUACAGGGAAUAUUUUAAAACUUUGAAAAAUGGUAUUACAGGGAAAGAAUACCUAAAACGAAGUCCUGUUCCAGUCUAAUUCCCAUAGACAAAAGGAUUCAACAAAAAGAAGCAGAACUACUGCCUAAUAUUCCAAAUAAGGACAUCCUUACCAGGAAAUGACAAAGAACAUAAUAUAUUAUCAUACCCCUACAAUUACAAAAUGAUGAAGCAGAGGUUUCUUGGGAAUCAUUGGGCGGGCUAGCAAGAAAAGAGAUACCAAGAAAGUUGAAACAAUUAGGGAUUAAUGUUGGAGUGAGUGUGUAGAAAAAUCUUGUCUUCAUAAACUAUUCAGGAAAAUAACCACACAAAAGCACAUCUUUUGUAUAUUCCAAGCUGUAUAUAAACCAAAUUUCUUGUCUCAUUUCAUCUGAUAAUUUGAAAUCGUGAAUAUAUCAUCUCAAUUCCAUGAAUUACAUUGAUUUCUGUGCAUUAGAAUGAAAGAGAGAAGAAGAGAAUUUUUCAGAUAUUGAAUUAGAAAUGACGAGGCAUGGAAAUCGCGAAUUAUAUUGAUGAGAGAACAGGUGCUUCAGAUGAUUCAGGACCAGCCUCAUGCUUUGUAUGUAUUCUUGUCUAGACGGCCAAUGUUAAUUACUUUUCCUAUGUACAAUGCUGUGUUCUGUGAGCAUAUAUUUUGGAAGAAAAUGGAUGUGACAAAGGUAAAAAAAGGUAAAAACAAAGGAAAAACAGACAACGACACAAGAUGGAGCAUCUCUGAUACAAACAGUGUUGUUUGGAGCAUCUGCAAACCUAUUACUAUCAAGGUUUCGAUUUCACUGUAGAAUUCCAUAUGCAGAAAAAAACAACAGUAAAUUUUUUAAGUUAGACGAGAAAGAGAGAGAAGAAAGGGACAAAGGGUGCUGAAUCCCUCUAUCUACUGAUCAAUGUUUCCCAGAAGAAUCUUUUUUUUUUUUUCUCCAAAUGUAAUAAAGAUCUUUUUAGGUGCAUCGAUUUACGUCAGCCUGUUAUACCCAUUGCAUGCAAAGGUUUCCGUCCUUGGACCCACGAGUACGUAUUUGCAUGAGCUGUGAUUUUGGAGUUUCUGUCAAGUUUCUCAACCUGGAUUUGCUUGCACGUGAUAUUCACGUGAGAGACGGCUCCUCUCAUACCAGCUACAAACCUAUUCAAGCUUAGAAUCAAACUAACACGAGACUAAAAUCGAAUCAGAUUAGAGCUUUACAAG